rnacentral:rRNA from 1 species
UACGAAGGGUGCAAGCGUUACUCGGAAUUACUGGGCGUAAAGCGCACGUAGGCGGAUUGUUAAGUCAGGGGUGAAAUCCUGGAGCUCAACUCCAGAACUGCCUUUGAUACUGGCGAUCUUGAGUUCGGGAGAGGUGAGUGGAACUGCGAGUGUAGAGGUGAAAUUCGUAGAUAUUCGCAAGAACACCAGUGGCGAAGGCGGCUCACUGGCCCGAUACUGACGCUGAGGUGCGAAAGCGUGGGGAGCAAACAGG